UAUCUGGUUGAUCCUGCCAGUAGUCAUAUGCUUGUCUCAAAGAUUAAGCCAUGCAUGUCUAAGUUCACACUGUUUGACGGUGAAACCGCGAAUGGCUCAUUAAAUCAGUCGAGGUUCCUUAGAUGACACGAUCCUACUUGGAUAACUGUGGCAAUUCUAGAGCUAAUACAUGCUUACCAAGCUCCGACCUUUAUUGGAAAGAGCGCUUUUAUUAGUUCAAAACCAAUCGCCGCGUGCUCUUCGCGGGGUGCGCGGUGUCCCCAUUGGUGACUCUGGAUAACUUUGUGCUGAUCGCAUGGCCUUCGUGCCGGCGACGCAUCUUUCAAAUGUCUGCCCUAUCAAAUGUCGAUGGUACGUGAUAUGCCUACCAUGUUUGUAACGGGUAACGGGGAAUCAGGGUUCGAUUCCGGAGAGGGAGCCUGAGAAAUGGCUACCACAUC
rnacentral:ncRNA from 1 species